UGAUCGUCGACGGGGUGUUCGCCGCCCCCGACUCGGCGAGAAGUCCAUUGAACCCUAUCAUUUAGAGGAAGAGAAGUCGUAACCAGGUUUCGGUAGGUGAACCUGCGGAAGGAUCAUUG
rnacentral:rRNA from 1 species